CAUUCUGCAGUGCAAAAAUUCCUAUAAAAAUACCUUUUUUUGAGUCAUUAACAUAAAAUGAAGAAAAAAGCAGCAGCCAAGAAGAGAGAUGUUGAAAUUUAAGAGAGGAAAAGAGAGAAGAAAAAUCCACUGGAUACCUUAUGUGUAAUUCACCAAUCUGUUGGAACACUUCUGCCACGUGUGAAGAGUUUUGGCAGACCAAAUCCACAUGCCUGAAGUGAUGCCCACCAACAAAGACAUAAAAAUUUUCAACAUUUCAACAGCCAUGUUGGAAUCAUCUGCAGAAUACUGAAAGAGUGCCCAGUUGGAGAUUUCAUAAAAAUAACAGGCAAUCACACACGUUGCAGGAACUGUGUACAGUACUGAGAACACCCCAAUCUUGACCAUCAGUCUUUCUAACUUGUCUGUCUUUGUCCCAUCCUUUUGAAGAUUUGACCGAAUUUUGAACAAGGCCACCAAACCUGCAGCAAUGAACAAAGUUCCAAUCACCAAAUAAGUAAAGAGGGGAGCCACCACGAACCCGGUGAGGGCAUCGAGAUUUUGGUUUCCAACAUAGCACAGGCCAGUCAGUUCAUCUGCAUCCACCAGUCUCAUAAUCAAGAUGACAAUGGUUUUCACUGCGGGGAUGGCCCAGGCUGCAAUGUGGAAAUAAGAGCUGUGCAUUUCAAUGGCUUCGUGACCCCAUUUGAGUCCUGCUGCCAAAAACCAAGUGAGUGUCAGAAUAACCCACCAAAUGGAGCUGGCCAUUCCAAAAAAGUACAUCAGCAAGAAAAUUAUUGCACAUCCUGUGUUCUUAAGUCCUUCUUGGAUGAGAACAGGUUCUGCUGCCUCUUCAAAAUCACAGGAUAUCCUUUCCCGGCCUACAGUCAGCCUGACAAUAUAAGCAAUGCUAUAAAUAUUAUAGCACAUACUGAGGAAUAUGAUGGGGCGCUCAGGGUAGGAAAACCUAGAAGAAUCGAUCAGGAAGGUCAGUACUGUGAAGGCAGUGGAGAUGAAGCACAGGCUGGCCCACACAGCCAUCCAGAUAUCGGUGAACUCCUUGGCUGAGCGGCUGUAUAAGCCAGCAUCAUAGCCACACUUGAGCACACAGUUCAGGCUCCUUUUCACCCAGAUGUACUGAUCAGAAUUGGUUCCCACAGAGUGACACUCUUCCCCAGGCUGGAUGGGGGUUUUGUGAGGUAACGGCACCUCUUCAUCACCUGGCCCUUCCAUGCACAUGUGGUUGUGGUCGUUCUGUGGUGGGAAUUUGCUGCAGUUCAGACUCUCUGGCCAGGCAAAUCCGAAUUCCUUCAGGACGGGUUCACAGCGUCUCUUGACUGAAAGACACAUGCCGCCGCAUGGGCCAAUGGGGAUGUUGAUCUUCUCUGUGCACAUUGGCACAUAAACAGAACAAAGGAAGAACUGGAAAAGUAACAAAAUGAACAACAACAACAACAAAAAACAAUGACUUGGAAGUUUGACCAAAUGCUCCCACAAAGCUGAGUUGAAUGCUUCCAGGCAAUGUAGGUAUCUACUUUUAAACCAACCUAUGGGGAGUCUGUUUACUCUGACCUCAAACAAGGGUGCCUGAUAAUCCAUCAUUACACACUUUUCUUAGUUUGGCUUUAGUAAUCCUUUCCAGAAGAAUGUACAUAAAUAAAUAAAUAAAAUAAAUAGGGUCUGAAGAAUUGCAUAAGCCCUCUUUGCACAACACUUGAAAUAAAUCUUAAAAAACUGGCUUUCAAUCUCCUUCCAUUUUCGAAACUAUUUGAAAAAGCUAAAGAAACUAAUACGACUCAUUUAGGUGGUUUAUUUUUAUCCCCGUUUCUCAUUUUAAAAAGUUAAAA